AUCUAAGCGCCAAGCCUUUCCCAAGAUAAGAUCUCCCUAUAGAACCCAGGUAGACCACCUGGUUGAUAGGUCGCAGAUGUAAGCGUAGCGAUACGUUGAGUCUAGCGAUACUAAUGUUCGAUUGAU
rnacentral:rRNA from 1 species